AGGGUGCUCGAAAGAGAGCCGUAACACAGGGUGCUGCAUGGCUGUCGUCAGCUCGUGUCGUGAGAUGUUGGGUUAAGUCCCGCAACGAGCGCAACCCUUGUCAUUAGUUGCUACAUUCAGUUUGGGCACUCUAAUGAGACUGCCGGUGACAAGCCGGAGGAAGGUGGGGAUGACGUCAAGUCCUCAUGGCCCUUAUAGGUGGGGCUACACACGUCAUACAAUGGCUGGUACAAAGGGUUGCCAACCCGCGAGGGGGAGCCAAUCCCAUAAAGCCAGUCGUAGUCCGGAUCGUAGUCUGCAACUCGACUACGUGAAGUCGGAAUCGCUAGUAAUCGUGGAUCAGAAUGUCACGGUGAAUACGUUCCCGGGUCUU
rnacentral:rRNA from 1 species